CAUUAUAUAUGAAAUGAAAAAGAAUACUAUAACUAGAAAACAUCAACAAUUCAUGCAACUCCUAACAUCCUUCAUUUGUUUUGUUUCAGGAGAGAAAGCAGACCAAAUAACUCAUUUUACUCAGUUUGAGUCACAAAAUAAUGUUCUCUAAUUUCAGAAACAUAGUACUGUUAUAUGUUUGAACACUAAUAUUACAUCAUAAGGUCAUAAUAUCAAAUUACAAAUACAACACUUGGUAAAUUCAAUUAUAAAAGUGUGUUACACAAUUAUAUUUAUCUUGUCAAUUUUAUUAAUCAGGACUUUCUGAGGUGAGCUGUCUCAAGAUAAAAAAAAUGAAAAAUCUAAUAAAAAUAUUUUAUUACUGAGUUGUUGUAUGAUGUGUUCACUGAAGAAGAUAUUAAUAUACAUUUACUUUUUUUAGUUUUUUAACUAGUGCUCUAGAGAUACUAAUUAACAUAACUCUUUAAAUUUUAAUUAUUUAGAAUUAUGUGUAAGAUAUAGGUGAUAGUAGUAAGUUGAACUAGUAAGCAUGUUGUACAUUUCACAUUAUGCGUGUUUUGUGGGGUAUUUGGCUAUAUAAUAUAUACAAUGCAAUUUCAAAAAUAUUUGUGCAGGCCCAUGCCCCCAAAGUGGUGGCUCUGGCUCCGUCCCUGGCCGAGACACAAUGCAUCUUU
rnacentral:lncRNA from 1 species